rnacentral:rRNA from 1 species
UACGUAGGUGACAAGCGUUGUCCGGAUUUACUGGGCGUAAAGAGCGCGCAGGCGGUCGAUCAAGUCGAGUGUGAAAGCCCCCGGCUCAACUGGGGAGGGUCAUUCGAAACUGGUCGACUCGAGGGCAGGAGAGGGUAGUGGAAUUCCCGGUGUAGUGGUGAAAUGCGUAGAUAUCGGGAGGAACACCGGUGGCGAAGGCGGCGUUCUGGACUGCAACUGACACUGAGGAACGAAAGCCAGGGGAGCAAACGGG